rnacentral:lncRNA from 1 species
UAGAGGGGGAAAAGUUAUUUGGAGGCUCACAGUUUCAGAAGUCUCAGUCCAUAGAUGACAGGCUCCAUUCCUUGGGGCUCAAGGUGAGGCAGGACAUCAUGGUGGAAGAGUGGGGCAGAGGGAAGCAGCUCACAUCAUGGUGAUCAAGAAGCAGAGAGAGAUAGACUGCACCCUCCAGAUACAAAAUAUAUACCCAAAGCCAUGCUCCAAUUCCCCCCUCCUCCAGCCACACCCUACCACUUCAGUUACCACUCAGUUAAUCCCUCCCUAUCAGGGGAUUAAAUCAAUGAUUGGGAUAAGGCUUUCACAACCCAGUCCUUUCUCCUCUGAACCUUCUUACACAUUGUCUCACAUGUGAGCUUUUAGAAGACACCUCACAUCCAAACCAUGACAGAAGGGAAGAAUAGUAGACCAGAUAAAACAUAAUUGUGUUCAGGGCAUACACAAAAUAGUAACUGUGGCCCAAGCAGCAUUGUUUUGCAAGGCCAGGGGGCUGCCCAUUCCCAAGAUGUACAUUCAGCGCAAACUCCCAACCCAAUCCAGCCCAGCCUAGCCCAGUGACCUGGAGAUUCCAUUUUAAGUCCUACUCAUCCUGACUUAGCUCUAAAGCACACCUGUAUUUAGUGAGGCUGCCUAUAUUGGACUCAGAAACCUUUGCCACAUGAUAGAAACACCAGUAGCCUCUCACUUGUUCCCCAUUCCCCCUUUACGUCUUAAUAAUUUUCAACCAAUAAAACAGCACACCAUCAAGAACUUUAAGAUUUCUUUAUUGACUAUUAUGAGGUUGCUGGUUUUGCUCUUUCAUUGCUCAGGAAAACUGUAGGCAUGCUGGUAAUUAGCAAGUUAGCACUUCGGUGUCUCAGGGAAACCUGACAUAAAUAGGAAAGAAUGAAAAUAUCGAAGAAUACUUUGUUCCUAGUAUUCUUUUUAAGCUGCCUCAAGUUGUUUUUAAAAGAAGGAGGUACUUAAACAAAUCAAUAAAAAUUUCUCAAAGAAACUUAUCUGUAAGUGAUGACACCACUUUCACACACCUCCCUUGGUCACACACAUGCACACAUCAUGGCAGAAAAUAUUAGUCCUACCAUAUCCUUGGUGAAAGACAAAAGAUUCUGUAGUCAAAUAGUUUUGGAAAACACUACAAUAUCACCUGGAAGAUUUAUAAGACUCAGAUUGCUGGACUGACUUCCAGAGCUUCUGAUUGAGUAGGUCUGACAUAGGCCCAAGACUUAGCAUUUCUAACAAGUUCCCAGGUGAUGCUGAGACUGUUGAUCCUGAGGAACGACACUUU